AGGGUUUGAUCAUGGCUCAGGAUGAACGCUGGCGGCGUGCUUAACACAUGCAAGUCGAACGAACCUUCGGGUUAGUGGCGGACGGGUGAGUAACGCGUGGGAAUCUGCCCUCAGGAGGGGGAUAACGGCUGGAAACGGCCGCUAAUACCCCAUAUGCCGAGAGGUGAAAUGAAUUUCGCCUGAGGAUGAGCCCGCGUCUGAUUAGCUAGUUGGUGAGGUAAGAGCUCACCAAGGCAUCGAUCAGUAGCUGGUCUGAGAGGAUGAUCAGCCACACUGGGACUGAGACACGGCCCAGACUCCUACGGGAGGCAGCAGUGGGGAAUUUUCCGCAAUGGGCGAAAGCCUGACGGAGCAACGCCGCGUGAGGGAUGAAGGCCUCUGGGCUGUAAACCUCUUUUCUCAAGGAAGAAGAUCUGACGGUACUUGAGGAAUAAGCCACGGCUAAUUCCGUGCCAGCAGCCGCGGUAAUACGGGAGUGGCAAGCGUUAUCCGGAAUUAUUGGGCGUAAAGCGUCCGCAGGCGGCCCUUCAAGUCUGCUGUUAAAACGUGGAGCUUAACUCCAUCAUGGCAGUGGAAACUGUUGGGCUUGAGUGUGGUAGGGGCAGAGGGAAUUCCCGGUGUAGCGGUGAAAUGCGUAGAUAUCGGGAAGAACACCAGUGGCGAAGGCGCUCUGCUGGGCCAUAACUGACGCUCAUGGACGAAAGCCAGGGGAGCGAAAGGGAUUAGAUACCCCUGUAGUCCUGGCCGUAAACGAUGAACACUAGGUGUCGGGGGAAUCGACCCCCUCGGUGUCGUAGCCAACGCGUUAAGUGUUCCGCCUGGGGAGUACGCACGCAAGUGUGAAACUCAAAGGAAUUGACGGGGGCCCGCACAAGCGGUGGAGUAUGUGGUUUAAUUCGAUGCAACGCGAAGAACCUUACCAGGGUUUGACAUCCUGCGAAUCUCUUGGAAACGAGAGAGUGCCUCCGGGAACGCAGUGACAGGUGGUGCAUGGCUGUCGUCAGCUCGUGUCGUGAGAUGUUGGGUUAAGUCCCGCAACGAGCGCAACCCACGUCUUUAGUUGCCAGCAUUUAGUUGGGCACUCUAGAGAGACCGCCGGUGAUAAACCGGAGGAAGGUGUGGAUGACGUCAAGUCAUCAUGCCCCUUACAUCCUGGGCUACACACGUACUACAAUGCUACGGACAAAGAGCAGCAAGUUCGCGAGGACAAGCAAAUCUCAUAAACCGUGGCUCAGUUCAGAUCGUAGGCUGCAACUCGCCUACGUGAAGGAGGAAUCGCUAGUAAUCGCAGGUCAGCAUACUGCGGUGAAUACGUUCCCGGGCCUUGUACACACCGCCCGUCACACCAUGGAAGUUGGCCACGCCCGAAGCCGUUACUCCAACCCUUGUGGAGGAGGACGUCGAAGGUGGGGCUGAUGACUGGGGUGAAGUCGUAACAAGGUAGCCGUA
rnacentral:rRNA from 1 species